UUAUUGUAAAAGUACUACUUUCGUAUAACCUCAAUGAUAUGGUUUGAGGGUAUCUACUUAGGAACCGUAAAUUCCUGGCUACGAAAAAUGUGCAAAUAGCC
rnacentral:ncRNA from 2 species